UCAACCAAUGAAUGCAUAAAUAAUUGAACAACAAAUCGAUGUUUCUCUCCCUAAUCUCAAUAAAAAAUUGAGGUAGUUUACAUCUCUUUUUAUGAACCAAGUCUUUGAAAUUCAGUUUGUACUUUAUCCUUAUAGCACAUCUCAAUUUGAAUUAACUAUAUUGGCUUAGCACAGCCCUAAACUUGGAGACAGAGCCUCUGAUUCAUUCAACAGUUGAAUACUUCAAAACAGCAGCUUAAUUCACUCUUUCACUCAAAGUCUCAUAAAUGUUAUAAUUUUACAAAGCACUAAAUUAAUCAAAUUAAAUAGGCUGGUUGAAAAGUUAGACGAAGUCACUAAAGGAUGAAAAAACGAAAGUAGAGAAAGAUACAGCCAUCUGCCCGGGGCAAGAUUCUGAAAGAAACUUGUCUGCUAUGAUGAAGCACUUCUGAAGGGGAAAAUAACAAUUAAAUAUUUUGUUAUUAAGUCAAAUGUGUAAGGCUUUUUAAAAAAAAAAAAUCCAUACAAUGUGUCAACUUGACAGAUGAAUAGUUAAGCAUUUCAACUCUAUUUUUAAAAGCUGACAGUAUUUCCCUUGCUCAGCUGGGAAGCAAAAACAUUCAACAGAUUCUGUGAUAAGUAAUAAAUUGAGUUGUUUAGGUUUGACAGUUCAGUUGAUUAUUGUGUUCUUUGCAUAUUCAUGUAAAACUGGUGUGAAUGAUGUUGCAGUGAGCUAGACUAAUGAUUAUAGAUAUAGUGGCCUGUCAAAAAAGAUGUCUUACAUUUUAAAGAGGUGAUUUAUUUUUGUUAGCUGUCAUAUUUAUUAUUGUGAAAAGGCAACCGUGGUGGCCAUAAGAACCAAAGCAUGGGUAUCGCAUUGCACAAAUCCGGGUAUCACAUUGACGCACUUUGUAAUUAUCCGUGUGCUUGUUCUUCACUGAUUAUCAUAGGAAAAAGGGGAAAGAAAUAACCUUUUAAUGAGAAAGAUGACUAUUAGUAGUGGCUGACACUGAGUCCAACAGUCCCGAUUCCUAGAAAUAAAGGGAAACAAUGUCUAUCCUGUGUGUGUGUGUGUAUCCAUGUACAUACAUGAGAAAAAUAUUCUCAUUCAGGCAGGAAACAAAAGGUUUGAAACUCAUCUUUCUUAAAACGUAUUGUAGGGAUGUGGAAUAAAGGCAAUGAGAAAACAAAGUUGGGGUAAUUAACCUGAACCAAAAUUUCUGUACAAAUAAGGACAUAAACGGUGUACUAGUAAUAAAAAAUAAGGACCUUAAACAAACUAAACUCCAUGCCCCCCUCCACCCAAGGGAUUAACCUUGAUUCAACUGAACUGUUAAUUUCCCUAAGCUUUUUACUAAUCCAUGUUUCCUAUGGUUUAGAGAUGGCAACAUGCUGUUUAUAAAUAUUCCUGGGUGGAAAAAUCUAGCCACCAACAAACAAAGAAAUGAUUUCUCUUUUGUUUGCUCUGGAAAGAAAAGGAUUGUUAGCACCACAAAUACUGUUUAUAUACUGUGCAGACCUAGGCAAAAUAGAUCAGUGCAUAGCUCAUUUCACAGUGGCAGGUGACUGGCUAAAAUAAGGCCUCGUGUAUUAAGGGCUUCCCUCAACACUAAGAACACAUUUCUGGGAUGAAAAGUAAAGGUGAGCAUUACUGUAUAAAUGACAAAAGAUGAAAGGGUAUUAUCUUAAAACCAUACCUAAAUUCUCAACAUGAACUUGUACAGGCUUUGACUUUUUUUGAAAUGAGAAAAUAAUAGAGCUCCCUAGCAGGUUAAAAGUCAGUAUUUUAUUCUGCUAUUCUUCUGACCGUUUUGAACCCUGAACUCCUGAAUUUAAAUCUUUUUAAAACUUUUUCUGCAAUGGCUGUUUAUGGUUCAAUCUAAAUAACUAUGUGGACUUGAAACCUAAUGUGGAUUAUUUUCUUCUUAUGUUCUGUGUGGCAAUGGUGCAUUUGCCCUUUCGAAGGAUUUGGCUUUGUAACAGGAACUAUGUGGACUGGACAUACCCUUCAAAGAGAAGAGCUGCUCUCCAGGAUGACGAUUUUUCCAAAGCACGUUUCCCCAUUCAUGGAAGAAAUAAAAUGGAAUUGAAACAAAGGACUGACAUUGACGAAUGAGCUGACAGUUCUGUUCAGAACUUUGGAUUCUUAUAAUCAUGAAUCUGUGGUAUUAUCCAUCCCAUACAUCACAUAGCUUUAUGCUGUUAAUUUUUUUUAAAGAACUGCCACUUUUAUUAUAUAGGAUCAAAGAUUAAAUUAUAAAGAAUUAAGAUUCAAGUAUCUUUUUAAAAGUGAAGUGCAAAGGGCCAUGAAGCUUAAGUAUAAACACAAACCAAAAUAGAAAAGAAAAACAAAAACAGAAAUGAUCCCAUCAACCUGAGUGAGCAAUGGAGAACUGAAAGAAGAUAGGUAUAUAUACUGAAUGCCCCAGGAUUAAAUCUUCACUCUGAGCUGCUGGUACAUGUGAUUCUAGUCCCAGAGAGAUGGCCCCAUAGUUACAUUUAUCUUGUGCAAAAGGUCCUUGGGUCCUCCUCAAACAGCGAGUCUUUGGUUGGGAAAUUAGCUCAUCAGUGCAGUGACAUUAUUAUCAUUGUCACUAGGGUGAGAUGGGGAAGACUGAUACAGUUUACCUAGCCUUGCCUUGCCAAUGAACAUUUUGGAACAAAGUGGAGCUAUUAAAACUCAUUAUCAUCAUUAUUGUAGUUGUUAUGUAAUAAUGGUGUAGGACUCACACUUUAAGAAAGAUGAAAACCUUUUUUCUUUCCUUAAAUCAGCCCAAAGGUGCUAUUUUACAUAUCAAUACAGUUGAAAGGACAUCCUGUUAUUUUGGGCUGUUUCCUCAUAUCUGACGAAAGCCCACUUUGAGAUUGGAUUUUGCAUUAAAACAAACAAGAAACAAUUAUUUUGACUGUGUGCAAUUUUUGAGGUUGAGCAUUUGUACUUUUUUGGUUUUACCUAAUUCUCUUGCAUUAACACUUUACUGUUUUGUGAAUAAUGUGUAUUAAGACAAAUUAAGGAAAAGAAUAUAAUUAUCUGUGAAAGACUUUGUAUAUUAAACAAGUGACUCGUACCUUU